ACCUGACUGCUAUCGGAUUGGUACUAAGCCAUGCGAGUCAUUGUAGCAAUACAAGGCGGACGGCUCAGUAACACGUAGUCAACCUAACUCGUGGACGUGGAUAACCUCGGGAAACUGAGAAUAAACCACGAUAGAUCAUAGUGCCUGGAAUGGCUUAUGGUCCAAACAGUUUACUGCCAUGGGAUGGGACUGCGGCCUAUCAGCUUGUUGGUGAGGUAAUGGCCCACCAAGGCGAUUACAGGUACGGGCUCUGAGAGGAGAAGCCCGGAGAUGGGUACUGAGACACGGACCCAGGCCCUAUGGGGCGCAGCAGGCGAGAAACCUUAGCAAUGUGCGAAAGCACGACUGGGUCAGUCCGAGUGAUUCCUGAUAAAGGAGUCUUUUGCCUGUCCUAAAAGCACAGGUGAAUAAGGGGUGGGCAAGUCUGGUGUCAGCCGCCGCGGUAAUACCAGCACCUCGAGUGGUCAGGACGUUUAUUGGGCCUAAAGCAUCCGUAGCCGGCUCUGCAAGUCUUCGGUUAAAUCCACCUGCUCAACAGAUGGGCCGUUGGAGAUACUACAGAGCUAGGGAGUGGGAGAGGCAGACGGUAUUCAGUGGGUAGGGGUAAAAUCCUCUGAUCCAUUGAGGACCACCAGUGGCGAAGGCGGUCUGCCAGAACACGUUCGACGGUGAGGGAUGAAAGCUGGGGGAGCAAACCGGAUUAGAUACCCGGGUAGUCCCAGCUGUAAACGAUGCAAACUCGGUGAUGCAUUGGCUUAUGGCAAUGCAGUGCCGCAGG
rnacentral:rRNA from 1 species